rnacentral:rRNA from 1 species
AUUGAACGCUGGCGGCAGGCCUAACACAUGCAAGUCGAACGGUAACAGGAAGAAGCUUGCUUCUUUGCUGACGAGUGGCGGACGGGUGAGUAAUGUCUGGGAAACUGCCUGAUGGAGGGGGAUAACUACUGGAAACGGUAGCUAAUACCGCAUAACGUCGCAAGACCAAAGAGGGGGACCUUCGGGCCUCUUGCCAUCGGAUGUGCCCAGAUGGGAUUAGCUAGUAGGUGGGGUAACGGCUCACCUAGGCGACGAUCCCUAGCUGGUCUGAGAGGAUGACCAGCCACACUGGAACUGAGACACGGUCCAGACUCCUACGGGAGACAGCAGUGGGGAAUAUUGCACAAUGGGCGCAAGCCUGAUGCAGCCAUGCCGCGUGUAUGAAGAAGGCCUUCGGGUUGUAAAGUACUUUCAGCGGGGAGGAAGGGAGUAAAGUUAAUACCUUGGCUCAUUGACGUUACCCGCAGAAGAAGCACCGGCUAACUCCGUG